rnacentral:rRNA from 1 species
UACAGGGGGUGCGAGCGUUAAUCGGAAUUACUGGGCGUAAAGCGCGCGUAGGCGGCUUUGCAAGUCGGGUGUGAAAUCCCCAGGCUUAACCUGGGAACUGCAUUCGAGACUGCAUUGCUAGAGUAUGGGAGAGGGAAGUGGAAUUUCCGGUGUAGCGGUGAAAUGCGUAGAUAUCGGAAGGAACUCAGUGGCGAAAGCGACUUCCUGGACCAAUACUG